rnacentral:piRNA from 1 species
UGGCUGGCAGGGUGGUCAUGUGACAAU